GCCACGUUUUACAGGAAGUAAAAAGCUGCAGAGGUCGUUUCACAACAGAUACUUUCUUUAAGAAACUCUCUUUGCCAUGAAAUCACCAUUGUGCAGGGUACCAUCUUCAGUGGUGGAAGAAGCACUCAUAUCUAUGUGAAGAGCAGCAUGUGGUAAUCUGAAGAUAGCACAUCGUCUACUGUCCGACCCCGGGUGAUACUUUAGGUCACCCUUCUUCAUUUUUCAUGGCCGUUAAGCAGGACAAAUGUGAGACUCACGUUUCGCCCCACAAAGUCCAGCCAUUGACCUCCAGGGCUGACACACUGCAGCGGAGCAGCAGUCACUGUGCAGUUACCUGUCAUAAAUCUUUAUCUCCUUGAAUCAUUACUUACCCUCGCUGUCAGGGGACUCCACUCUCCAAUCUUAAAAUGAUAUAUUGGAAAUAGUGCACUCAGGCAGAGCAGAACUGAGCUGAGAAGACAGAUACCAGAGAAUGCAAUGGCAUCCAGAAUUAUUAAUUAUCUGUGCAUACGAUAUAGCCUAUAUAUUUUAUUGAUUUACUAUGAUAUUAAUUAUAACGGCAGAUUUGAUAUAUUGAGAUCUGGUCAUCAGAAACGCUCGUUUAAGCCACUCUGAAUUAUUAAAGUAGACCAAAAUGACAUUUGAAUAAUUGAAGAGUUUUUAGGGACAAAGUCCUUCUGCCACAAACUCUCAAUCAGGAUCAAAGUUGCUUGUCAUAUCACUAAAAGGAGAGUAUAAGAGAGAAUCUGUCAAUGUGUAACAUAGUUUUAUAUUUCCUGGAAACAUCUGAAAAGCUAGUACUUUUCCCAUAAAUCCAGAAAUGAAGUCAGACAGUCAUUCUUAAACUUGAAAUGUUGAGAGGUGACAGAUAUUUAUAAUGCAAAUGCAGAGCACGUCUGUAUCUGUUUUCUUUGAUAGCUGACAUUAAAUGGUAAGACUUGCAAUAAUCUAUAUUUUGGUUAUUGUUAACAGAUCUCAUGAAAAGACCAAACCAACAAAUGCGUUGGUCCGUCUCUCAAUACGUUCCCACUUUCCCAGCCUGCAUGUGGCUCUCAGCUUCAAGCCCAUUGGUUCCUAUUGUGGAUGUAAAUCUUUUAAAAUCAGGUCACAACUAUAUAGAUUCAAUUUUUAAAAAGGUUAAGUAAUUUCCUAAAACAGCUGGGCACUGUAGUUUAAACAGUGUAUUUGUUGGGGACUAUUUUCAGUUGCGGAUUUGGACAGUGGUCAUGUAAUGAAGGAUCAUGUCAGCCAAUGAAACAGUGUGGCUUACUGAUAUGUUUUCAAUAGUUUUUGGACAACAAUGGAUGCCUAUAGCACAGAGGAAAAGGUAGAUCAGGCUUUGGAUACCAACCCUGUCUCCCAGAAAUUACAUCUAUAUAUCACUAAAUUGUUUUCCCAAUUCCACGUUGCUGACAAACGUAAUCGCUGCCUGGAUUAUGUGGUCAGCAGGUGCACAAAGCACAGGACUGUGACACCAGAGUUCAGGUUCACAUUCAGACUCCCAUCUGUGGUUAGGUUUAGCCAGCAAAAGCACUUUGUUAAAGGUUAAGGAAAGAUUGUGGCUUCGGAUGAAUGUUAACAAUCACAUUGUGUCUUUAGUCACUGUGGACAUUUUAUGUAUUAAACCAAGACCCCGAUCUUUCUCUAACCUUUACUAAGUGCUGUGAGUGCCUAAACAUAACCAUAAAAAAGUCUAAGAAUGCAGUUGUCACUAUGAGCGGAUACUGUAUUACAAGAUUUAAUAUUUUGGCGGAAAACAAAUUAAAUAUGCAGAUGUGUGGAAUUCCUCAAUGACAUCAGGGAUUUCCAGCAUGGGUGAAGCAAAUUUAACUAAGAAUGAUAAACAGAAUGACUUCCCAGUGUUUUAUCACACUGUGUCAGGAAGCCUGCUCCUCCAUCACCCCCAGUGAGAAGCCGGGUGUGUCCACCUGUCUGUCCUUCAUCCUGUCCAGUGCUGAGAAAGCAGAUGGAGCACCUCACAAGAUUAGUUUAUCUCAUGCCAAAAACACAUGGCUCAUUUGUCAUAAUGCACCCUUUCCCUUUUGGUGAAGAUUUUUUGCUUUUUUAUUUAAUCAUGUUAGCCCUGUAGUAAAUAAAGAAUCUAUAAAUAUAA